rnacentral:rRNA from 1 species
CCUCGUUUUGCUUCUCGUCUCGCACGCGCCGCUCGUCUCUCUGUCGGCCGGUCCGGUCGCGCCGGUCGCCGGCGACAGCGUCGACGGCCACAGCGCCGCGCCGCUCUUCCCCUUUCUCCUCCUGCUCUCCCCCAUCCACAGCUUCCUACUGGACCGAGAGAGAGGCAGAGAGGUGCGGGGCUUUCUCGAUGCGGCGGGUUGGGGCCGCGCCGGUCGCCGGUGACGGCGUCGAGCGGCCACGGCGGCGCGCGAGCCUGCUCUUGUUCCCCCUCCUCUCUUUCUCUUUCUCUUUCUCUGUUUCACCCAUCCACCACGUCCUUCUUUUAGAGAGAGAGAGAGAGCCAUGAGAGGUGCGCGAUA